rnacentral:rRNA from 1 species
AACAAACGCUGGCGGCGUGCCUAACACAUGCAAGUCGUACGAGAAAUCCUGGGCAACUGGGAGAGUAAAGUGGCGCACGGGUGAGUAACGCGUGGGUAACCUGCCCUUGAAUUGGGGAUAACUCCGCGAAAGCGAAGUUAAUACCGAAUGAUAUUCCGAUUUCUCCGGAGGUUGGAAUCAAAGGUGGCCUCUGCAUGCAAGCUACUGUUCAAGGAUGGGCCCGCGUACCAUUAGCUUGUUGGUAGGGUAACGGCCUACCAAGGCUACGAUCCGUAGCUGGUCUGAGAGGAUGAUCAGCCACACUGGGACUGAGACACGGCCCAGACUCCUACGGGUGGCUG